GUGUCAGCAGCCGCGGUAAUACAGAGGGUGCAAGCGUUAAUCGGAAUGACUGGGCGUAAAGGGCGCGUAGGCGGUUAGAAAAGUAAGAGGUGAAAGACCCGGGCUUAACUUGGGCAGGGCCUCUUAAACUAGAUGACUAGAGUACAGUAGAGGGGAGUGGAAUUUCCGGAGUAGCGGUAAAAUGCGUAGAGAUCGGAAGGAACACCAGUGGCGAAAGCGACUCCCUGGGCUGAUACUGACGCUGAGGCGCGAAGGCGUGGGGAGCAAACAGGAUUAGAUACCCUGGUAGUCCACGCGGUAAACGAUGAAAACUAGCUGAAGGUACCUAUCAUGAGUAUCUGUAGCGAAGCAAACGCGAUAAGUUUUCCGCCUGAGGAGUACGGCCGCAAGGCUAAA
rnacentral:rRNA from 1 species